rnacentral:miRNA from 1 species
CACCUCAUCAACUGGAAGGGAUUCCUUCCAAUUGAUGAGGUAUUUCACCUCAUCAACUGGAAGGGAUUCCUUCCAAUUGAUGAGGUA